AACUCAACUCAACUCAACUUUUAUUCAAAAAAUUUGGGAUCGACAUCAAUAACAAGACUCAAUUACAGAAAAAACAUGAAGAAAUUGGGAGACUUAAAAUGUAUUUUUACAAAAUCAUGCUGAAGCAAAACGGGUUUUGAAGGAUUCCCAAGUUAGGCCUUUCUCUAUAUACUCUAUAUUGGAGGGGUCAAAAGGCCCCUUAAUUCUGUCUAUGGACUUGAUUACUGCCCUCGCCGGAAGAACACUCCUCGAUGGAUCCGGUGAAGUCUCGUAGCUCAAGCUCGAAGAGAAUCCCUUGAAAAUGAGCACUUCUACUUCUUGCUUGUCCACAAUUGCUUGAACAAUAAGAGCUUCUUCUCUUGCAGAUUGAGUAUACAUUUCCAACAAAGCAAUCUCCUCAUUAUGUCCAGACUCCUCUUCUUCUUCAUCUUCAUUUUCAUCCUCAUAUCUCACUCUUCUUCUUGCACUACAACGAAUGCUUGAAACUUGUACCUGAGUGCUUAAUAUUAGAUCUCCGAUUUUGGGGAUUAAAAAUACAGUAUUGUGAAUGUGAAGAUGAGGGUUGAGCUUUGAGAGAUUAGGUAAGCGUGAGGAAGAUAUGGCCCAUUUCCCUGUUUGCUUCAACAUUGAAGAUGAACACACCACAGACACCCAAGGGGGUGUUGGUUUGCUUGGAUAAGG
rnacentral:misc_RNA from 1 species